rnacentral:rRNA from 1 species
GGGUCAGUAGGCUGGUCGUGCCACCGGUACGUACUGGUCUCACUGAUUCCUCCUUCCUGAAGAACCUUAAUGCAAUUAAUUUGGUGUUGCGGGGAAACAGGACUGUUACUUUGAAAAAAUUAGAGUGUUUAAAGCAAGCUAACGCUUGAAUACAUUAGGAUGGAAUAAUGAAAUAGGACGAUCGAUCCUAUUUUGUUGGUUUCUAGGAUUGACGUA